rnacentral:rRNA from 1 species
UGCGUAGGCGGAUGAUUAAGUCAGAUGUGAAAUCCCAGGGCUCAACCUUGGGGCUGCAUUUGAUACUGGUCAUCUAGAGUGCAGGAGAGGAGAGCGGAAUUCCUAGUGUAGCGGUGAAAUGCGUAGAGAUUAGGAAGAACACCAGUGGCGAAGGCGGCUCUCUGGACUGUAACUGACGCUGAGGCACGAAAGCGUGGGGAGCGAACA